rnacentral:tRNA from 1 species
GGGGGCGGAUGUANCCAAGUGGAUUAAGGCAG